AGAGUUUGAUCCUGGCUCAGGAUGAACGCUAGCGGCAGGCUUAAUACAUGCAAGUCGAGGGGUAACAUGGGUAGCAAUACCUGAUGACGACCGGCAAACGGGUGCGGAACACGUACGCAACCUUCCCAAAACUGGUGAAUAGCCCUCCGAAAGGAGGAUUAAUACACCGUAAGAUAAUGAGAUGGCAUCAUCUUAUUAUUAUAGCUCCGGCGGUUUUGGAUGGGCGUGCGCCUGAUUAGGUAGUUGGCGGGGUAACGGCCCACCAAGCCUUCGAUCAGUAACUGGUGUGAGAGCACGACCAGUCACACGGGCACUGAGACACGGGCCCGACUCCUACGGGAGGCAGCGGUAAGGAAUAUUGGUCAAUGGACGCAAGUCUGAACCAGCCAUGCCGCGUGAAGGAUGACGGCCCUCUGGGUUGUAAACUUCUUUUAUCUGGGACGAAAAAAGGGCUUUCUAGCUCGACUGACGGUACCAGAGGAAUAAGCACCGGCUAACUCCGUGCCAGCAGCCGCGGUAAUACGGAGGGUGCAAGCGUUAUCCGGAUUUACUGGGUUUAAAGGGUGCGUAGGUGGGUCUGUAAGUCAGUGGUGAAAUCUCCGAGCUUAACUCGGAAACUGCCAUUGAUACUAUAGAUCUUGAAUUAUCUGGAGGUAAGCGGAAUAUGUCAUGUAGCGGUGAAAUGCUUAGAUAUGACAUAGAACACCAAUUGCGAAGGCAGCUUACUACGGAUCGAUUGACACUGAGGCACGAAAGCGUGGGGAUCAAACAGGAUUAGAUACCCUGGUAGUCG
rnacentral:rRNA from 1 species